rnacentral:misc_RNA from 1 species
GUGAAUCAUCAAAUUUUUGAACGCAAAUUGCGCCUUUUUCGGAAGGCAUGUCCGUUUGAGGGCGACAUUUAACAAAUAAUGUGCAGAGUUGUUUGUUGAAUAGGUUGAUGAGCUUUCCAAAAUUAUGUAUUAUUCUUUUUGGUGGCGCAUAAUAAAUAGCGCGAUGCUUUUUUUCAGUUCGAGUGUAGUAAAAUCUUUGCUUGUUUUGUGAAAAAACAUAAUCGCGAAAUGGGUGUGG